rnacentral:pre_miRNA from 1 species
UCUAUUGGAUGACCAAAGAAAGUGGUUUCUGGAGAUGGAACCUACUCCUGAUGAAGAUCCUGUGAA